UUGUAAUGUUGCUUUAUUCUGUAACAUCAUAUUGUAAUGUUGCCUUAUUGUUUAGAAGCCAUUUGAGUGACUUCAGCUUAUCAUGCUUCCUCAUGAUGGUUUAUUUUGCAGCUAUUGUGUACAAGGAAAUUCAUAUUUAGGAAAGGCAACAGCAACAUUGCCUUUACUUAACCAUUGUGUACUUAUUAUGUUUGAAAUAUGAGAAAUGUAAUGCUCAGUGUAAAAAUUGGUCACGAGUGUUUAAACUAUGAGUGGUCCACAUUAGGAAAAAUGAUGCCCAUUUGUCAAUUCAUGCUUACGGUACCACUUUAUAAAUCGUUCCUUAAAAUAGGUUAAUGACAUUUUAGUCAUUUGAUUUGGAUUUGGUUUGGAUUUGAUUUGGAUUGGGAUCCUAACAGUUAACUUCUUAUCCUUUGAUCAGGUCCAAGAGCUCGCUGGAAACAAGAGACAACAAGAAGAGCUGCAGGAAAACUCCCCUGCUGACGAUGAAUAGAUGAGGAUUUUGAAAAAAAAUGUAAUGACUAUUGAUUGUAGUAUGAUUUUUGUUCAUUCUAGAAUUUGUGUAAAUUUUUUGUUGUGUAAAUUUGUGUAAAUUUGUUUUUUUGCCAAGUUCUUUGAACCUGUCAAUACUCUUGUCAGGUUUGGAAUGAGAUAAUGCAUUGAUUGAAUUUGAUAUUUAGAAGUUGUGAGUGAAGAUACUAGUGUUCAUGGUUUACUAAUAUGAGGGAUAAUUCAUUUCAUAAGAAGCUGAAAGUAGCUUGUUUUGCUACUUGUAUAUACUGCUUGUAUCAACAUCAAUGAUAUUCAUCACUUGCAAUUGUUGGAGGAUGUGGCGAGCUACAGCACCACUACCCUUGCAGAAAUGUGGAGGACGACUUCCAUUUCUCUUACGCCCACUUUCUUCUGGAAUCCACCUACCCCAAUUCCUUGCCUAAGGGAGAUCGAUGAAUUGUCGAGAAGGGAUCUUGAACUGAGAAUUGAUCGGAGACGACCUGGCUCUGGUGGCGGGAACGGCGAGACUAUUUGAAGCUCGGAUCAAUCGAGAAUCGAUGUGUGAGGAACGAAGCAUCAUCGCCAUCUUCAAAGCGAUGCGAGCGCAGACCUGAGCUCGACGGCGAGUCUGAGCGGGGGCGGCGAGCUCUAAAGUCGGCGAUUUCGGGCGGUGGAAAGGAGGAGGUCGAGGUGAUGGCGAGGGCGAGGGUGAUGAGCUGGCGGCGAUGCUGAGCGGGGGCGAGGGGAUGUCGAUGGUGGCGAGCUUCGGCGAGCUUCGGGCGGUGAUCGGAGGUUGGACGUUCGUCGGCGGUAGAAAUUAGGCUUGAUUUGGGGCUUUUUUUUGAGGGUUCGGGACAAUUGCAAAAAUGCCGUCGACGAUUUUGGGGGAGCUCCGAUUUUGGGGCUGCUGUUGAUUUGGGGGGAGGGGUGACGUUGACAGAGGAGGAAGGGAGGGAGGGAACUCGGGGUCCGACGUUGGGAGGGAGGCGGAGUUGGUCGAGCUCGAUC